rnacentral:rRNA from 1 species
AUGCCAAUCCUCAGCCUCUCCGCGAAGCCGCUGUCUCGCCUCCCUGCAAAACGAGGAUUGUCAAGAUUAAGUAGGGUGCAGAACCUUGCGUUUACGACGUCGAGGAUAAGGAUCACCAUGCUCAAGCAACAGGAUCAUCCGGGGAAUGAAAGCGGCAGCAGGCCUCUGUACCUCGGGAUAGACUUUGGAACUUCCGGCGCCAGAUACGCACUUAUCGACAAGCAAGGGGCCAUCCAUUCCGAAGGCAAAAGAACUUACCCAGCUGUUGGACAAACCACCAACUGGGCAAGCUCCUGGAGAGAAGCACUCUUCCAGCUUCUUGGCGACAUUCCGUCCGUUCACCAGCCAUCAGUCUCAUCCAUCUCCAUUGAUGGGACUUCAUCAACCACUCUCAUCAUUGAUAGCUGCAGAAACAAUGGAGAGCUUCUUGCCGGCCCUUUCCUCUACAAUGAGAGCUUCCCUGAUGCGCUGCCCAUGAUCAGCUCGAUUGCUCCCGCAAAUCACACAGUGUGCUCUGGUUCGUCCACCCUAUGCAAGCUCGUCUCAUGGUGGAACAAGCAUUGUUUGAAUGGCGGCGAUGAUUCGGCGAUACUGAUGCACCAAUCAGACUGGCUGCUGUGGCUUUUGCAUGGAGAAUACGGCGUUUGUGAUUACAACAAUACUCUCAAGGUAGGGUAUGAUCCAGAGACUGGGUCAUACCCAAGCUGGCUCAUGUCACAGCCAUACUCACACAUGUUGCCUUCUUCUGUCAGAGCACCCGGAGUUCCCAUUGGCCCAAUCAAAGAAGAUGUGCGCUCACAAUAUGGCUUUUCGAAUGACUGUGUGGUCUGUACUGGGACAACCGACAGCAUCGCUGCCUUUCUUGCAGCACGAACCACUGAUCCAGGAAAAGCGGUGACGUCGCUGGGUUCAACGCUCGCGAUCAAGCUCGUCAGCAGAGUCCGCGUGGAAGACGCAAGGUUCGGCGUCUACAGCCACCGCCUGGACGACCAGUGGCUCGUCGGCGGGGCGUCCAACAGCGGGGGUGUGGUGCUCCGGCAACUCUUCAGCAACGACCAGCUGGUGACGCUGAGCAGGGACAUCGACCCGUCAUCUCCUUCCCCUCUUGACUACUACCCUCUGCCCAAGAAGGGCGAGAGGUUCCCUGUCUCUGACCCCGACAUGGAGCCGAGGCUGGAGCCUCGACCCGACAGCGAUGCCGAGUACUUGCACGGCAUAUUGGAGUCCAUGGCGCGCAUUGAGGCCAGUGGGUACAAACUGCUGAAGGAGCUCGGCGCAACGCCGGUGGAGGAGGUCUUUACGGCAGGGGGAGGCGCGCAGAAUGAGAAGUGGACGGCAAUCCGGGAGAGAGUCCUUGGGGUGCCUGUUUGGAAGGCAGAGCAGACAGAGGCGGCGUACGGAGCUGCAUUGCUAGCACUCAGGGGUGCUACCACGGGCUCAUGA